CGUCCUUAACUUCCUUAACUUUUCCCAUUCAUUCUCUAUGGUAGUUCUUAUCACUACGGAUGUAAUAUUUCUCCGGCCACAAGCGGGAUUUUGGUUGCGCUGUUGCCCCCCUCGGCAGAAGUAAGGAGAUGAUUUGUUCUCUGAGUGACAGACAGCGGAGCGUCGAAAGGAGACCACAAACACGUUUUCGGAGAUAGAUGACAAUUAUUUUCAUCCGUCGAUAAGUUAACUUUUCAAUUGGGGAUUAGUAUUGUCUCAGUUAAGAGCUGGAAAACUGAGUUUACGUGGGUUAAACCCACUACACUCAUGACAAAUGCUCAGAGUACCUGCUGCAGUUCGGAAAGUACCAGGGAAAAUCUUUCAAGUGGUUCCUAGAGAACGAGGUUGGCUACACCAUGUACCUUAUGAAAAAGGUAGAUGAGGAGGAGAGGGCCGGGACCUUCAACCCACAGGGACACAGUAAGGACAGCCUGCUGUCUUCUCUGGACUAUGCCAGGAGCUUCCAGGAAAUCCAGGACCUGAGGAACUACCUGAUCUCCAGGAACCAGUGGCGUCAGAGGGGGACAAUAUUGUCGGCUUUGGUUGCAGGGCCAAAAAUGGAGUUCCAGCAGUCUGACUUUUUUGAGGCAGAAAGGGGCCGAUGGGUUUCAGAAAAGAGGAGUUGAGGAAGACUAUUAGUCCUCCUCAACUCCUCUUUUCUGAAAUGAAAUGAUUAGUCCUGGACUAAUCAUUUCAUAAUAUUGUAUAUGUUUACAUCUCAUCUCAUCUUCGUCCGCUUAUCCGGGGUCGGGUCGUGGGGGUAGCAGCUCAAGUAUAUGUUUACACUUUUUACUAAAUAUAUUCUGUACAUUUUUAUUGUUCCGUUGCUUACAUAUUAUCUUUAUUUACCUUCAAUGUCAGUUUUGAUUUAAUUAUUCAGCUUGUGUUUAUGUACAAUAAAAUAUGACACUUUCAUUAAAGGGCA